rnacentral:rRNA from 1 species
UUAGCAUGGAAUAAUGGAAUAGGACGUGUGGUUCUAUUUUGUUGGUUUCUAGGACCGCCGUAAUGAUUAAUAGGGACAGUCGGGGGCAUCAGUAUUCAAUUGUCAGAGGUGAAAUUCUUGGAUUUAUUGAAGACUAACUACUGCGAAAGCAUUUGCCAAGGAUGUUUUCAUUAAUCAGGAACGAAAGUUAGGGGAUCGAAGACGAUCAGAUACCGUCGUAGUCUUAACCAUAAACUAUGCCGACUAGGGAUCGGACGAUGUUAUUAUCUGACUCGAUCGGCACCUUACGAGAAAUCAAAGUGCUUGGGCUCCAGGGGGAGUAUGGUCGCAAGGCUGAAACUUAAAGAAAUUGACGGAAGGGCACCACCAGGGGUGGAGCCUGCGGCUUAAUUUGACUCAACACGGGGAAACUCACCAGGUCCAGA